UUCUUCAUCUUGCUCAACUCUCUGUGUUGGUUUCUAUACAGUAGACGAAGAACCACCUCUCCCAGUCUUGAAGGAGUGGCUUCAUGUAGGAGCUGGGCCCUGUUGUUCAGCCCUGCCCGGGCUCUCGAUUGUGUCUGCAACCUCUGUGCUUGUCCAAGUAGCCUAUUAUAUUUUUAAUAGCUCCCAGCAGUUGAGGAUGUGCCAAGACCUGUCAGUGCCCCAAAGGGGAGGGCCUUAGCAUCUAGAUUCAGGAUGACUGGAACCAGACUCUUAGGCAUUAGCUCUUUAAAGUAUGCAAAUAAAUACAGUUCUGUGGGACUGUAAGCAUAAGCCCCUCUGCCCACCAAAGCCAGGUGCUCUGGAGGUUUUCUCUGGGUAGCGGUCACAAAAAUAGGGGCUAGAGAUGAGUGUAUAAACCCUUUUCUGGGUCAUACCACUAAGCCGAAGCAAGACAGAGGGAAACACCAAGAUGGUAUUCAUAGGCUAUAUUCCUUGAGAGCUGCUCAGCACUAAAUGUGACCAGCCUGGAGCCUUGCCCUCAGGCUGACACUCCUGGAUAAGCAAGCAGCCUCCGCUUCACAGAAAGACUUGGGGGUGUGCAUUGUCUACGUAGUGCCCUUGGGGUGGCAACCUGCCGAGCAACAUCUCCCCAGCCGCCACAGUCAUGUGGGAUGCAGGAACCCAACACCUCCCCCACGGCCAGGCAAUCAAAGGAUGUCCCUUGGACAGCAGCUACAGAAACAGGAAGGCACCAGGCAAAAACCAGGGCGCCAGACGUGUUCCCUUUCAGGAGACAUUGGUGCUCUGAAGUGCAGCAGACGGUGAGGGUGAAGACAGUGCCCACCCUCUGAGGCGUCUAGACAGGAUGUGCGUUUCAUUAGAAGCCUCAGGCACAGCCAUGAUGAUCAGCUAUUAGGCCUCUUCACAGAAAGACCAAGCUCCUGGGUAUGAACUCUUUCUGCUUUGUUUACAGCCCCGUGGGACACAUGAGCGUUAGCCGCACUGGCUACACCAGGUGUCCUCUGGUAGCAGUCACAAAAAUCGGGGUGCCAGACAGAGGUCUGAGCUCCUUCCUGGGUGACACGGAUUAUUACACUCCCACGGGACCAGGAACACAAAUUCCCCUGGCCUCCAGAACCAGGCGAUCAAAAGGCGUCCUCUAGAGGGCAGCGGCUGCAAAAACCCAGGCACCAGGUCAGUGCAAAGGCUCCCUUUCGGAAGAUGCUCCUGCUCUGGAGCAUGCGCGGAGGAGAGCGCCAAGAUGGGGCCAGCAGCUUCCGCUCGGUGCUGCCCCGCAAGGGUGCUGGGUGUGUGUGGCAGGUCCUCGUGCCUGCCCCUCCGCCGCCCACGCUUCACUGUAAGCAGAAUUCCACAAAGUAAAAUAUGGUAGUUAGGUAAACAUCAAUGAAAUUUGAAUGAGGUGGACCCAACUGAUGUUUGCACCACCAUCGAGGAACCUGUGUUGUACCUUCCAGAGAAACUGAUCACAUCAUAUUAAUAUAUCCUUUAAAGAAUGACAUGCAAAAAAUAAAAGACUUUUCUCAUCAGCCUGGUGCCAUGUGGGAGAGAUUCUUGCAGCAAAGAACUGAGCACAAUAUCCAUUCAACAACAAGCAAGGAAGCGAGGUCCUCCCUCCAGUGGCCCUCCAGGAUCUGAAUCCUGCCAAUGACCACAUAAGUGAACUUGGAAGUGGAUUCUUCCACAGUUGAGACUUCAGUUUGCAGAUCUGCGCCAAUUCUCAGACCUAGAAGCCAUUGACCCAUCAAAACAGAGGCCAGUCCUCUAGGAUAAAGGACAGCAGCAGGUGUGUAUAGUAGAAAUGUCUUUAG